AGGGCCUGUCUGCAGGGUACUGCAGGGCACUUGGGCAGGGCACAUAGGCCACCUGACUGCUCAGUGGAUGCCCACAGCCCAGGAGAGGAGACCAAGAGGAUGCUGGCAUGAGGCAGCUGAACACAAGUGUCCUCUCCCCCUGAAGUGCAGAGGCGGUCCGGAACUUCAGAUGCAACCCUGCUCUCUUACACUCUCCCGGUGACCGAGGGCCCUGGGCUCCUGUUGUUCCUGCAGCCUGUGCCAGCUCCCCCGCCCUCCUCUCCUCCCCACCACGGAUGUUCUCAGACCACAGCCCUUUUGGAGGAUGGCAACCUGUUCCCGCCCCAGACUGGAGGCCCCCCUCUAGUGAGGGUCUUGGAAAUGGAGCUCCUGCUCCCCACUCCACCCCACCCCAGGGUGCAGACAAGCUGUCCACGCCCCCUCCCUCCGCCCCCACCAGCCUGCCUCUGCUCUUCUUCUGUCUCCAGUGUCCAAGGCCUCCGGGCUUCUGCUGCUCUCUGUGGGCAGGGCCCUGGGCAUGUGGCAAUUCCAGGCCAGGCCCCUGACCCUCGGCCACCAUAGUCCAACCCUCAGACAUCCCUGAGCA